rnacentral:lncRNA from 1 species
AAUAAAAUUUACUGAUCUAAUAAUUAAAUUGAUUUAUUGCAUUAAAAAUACAUUUAGUUGUUUAUUGUGUUUCAAAUGUACGUCAGUCCAUUAUUUACGUUUUGCCAUUUAAAUAAUUACAACCAUAUAUUUAAACAUACGAAAGAAUAUGCUUUGAAGCGCCUCGUGGACUUUGGUCAUAUAUAAACACGUGCUCCCGCUAAAUUUUCAUUCCACGAGUAUUUUUCAA